rnacentral:rRNA from 1 species
ACAUAUGACCACGGGUAGUAGAAAAUACGGGAUCCCGUCUGCUCUCCCAUAGUCAAGCCACUAACCGGUAGAUUAGUAGUUAGGUCGGUGAUGACUAGCGAAUCCCCGCUGUUGUAUGUU